rnacentral:rRNA from 1 species
CUACCCUAAGUUGGGAUACUACUGGAACGGUGGCUAUACCGGAGUGCCGAAGGUGAAAGGCUUGCUGCCUGAAAUGAGCUCGCGUCUGAUUACAUUUGGUGUGGUAAGAGCGCACCAAGGCGUCGAUCAGUAGCUGGUCUGAGAGGAUGAUCAUCCACACUGGGACUGAGACACGGCCCAGACUCCUACGGGAGGCAGCACUGGGGAAUUUUCCGCAAUGGGCAAACGCCUGACAGAGCAAUACCGCGUGAGGGAGGAAGGCUCUUGGGUUGUAAACCUCUUUUCUCACGGAAUAAGAAAGUGAAGGUACCUGAGGAAUAAGCUUCGGCUAACUCCGUGCCAGCAGCCGCGGUUUUACGGAGGAUGCCCGCGUUAUCCGAAAUGAUUGGGCGUAAAGCGUCCGCAGGUGGCGAUGUAAGUCUGCUGUUAAAGAGCAAAGCUUAACUUUGUAAAAGCAGUGGAAACUACAUACCUUAGGUACGUUCGGGGCAGAGGGAAUUCCUGGUGUAGCGGUGAAAUGCGUAUAGAUCAGGAAGAACACCGGUGGCGAAGGCGCUCUGCUAGGCCGUAACUGACACUGAGGGACGAACGCUAGGGGAGCGAAUGGGAUUAGAUACCCCCCUUUUCCACAAAA